rnacentral:rRNA from 1 species
GCUACAGGCUUAACACAUGCAAGUCGAGGGGCAGCAUGAACUUAGCUUGCUAAGUUUGAUGGCGACCGGCGCACGGGUGAGUAACACGUAUCCAACCUGCCGAUGACUCGGGGAUAGCCUUUCGAAAGAAAGAUUAAUACCCGAUGGCAUAGUUCUUCCGCAUGGUAGAACUAUUAAAGAAUUUCGGUCAUCGAUGGGGAUGCGUUCCAUUAGGUUGUUGGCGGGGUAACGGCCCACCAAGCCUUCGAUGGAUAGGGGUUCUGAGAGGAAAGUCCCCCACAUUGGAACUGAGACACGGUCCAAACUCCUACGGGAGGCAGCUGUGAGGAAUAUUGGUCAAUGGACGAGAGUCUGAACCAGCCAAGUAGCGUGAAGGAUGACUGCCCUAUGGGUUGUAAACUUCUUUUAUACGGGAAUAAAGUGAGGCACGUGUGCCUUUUUGUAUGUACCGUAUGAAUAAGGAUCGGCUAACUCCGUGCCAGCAGCCGCGGUAAUACGGAGGAUCCGAGCGUUAUCCGGAUUUAUUGGGUUUAAAGGGAGCGUAGGCGGACGCUUAAGUCAGUUGUGAAAGUUUGCGGCUCAACCGUAAAAUUGCAGUUGAUACUGGGUGUCUUGAGUACAGUAGAGGCAGGCGGAAUUCGUGGUGUAGCGGUGAAAUGCUUAGAUAUCACGAAGAACUCCGAUUG